rnacentral:rRNA from 1 species
UCUACGGGGGGCAGCAGUGGGGAAUCUUGCGCAAUGGUCGAAAGACUGACGCAGCGACGCCGCGUGCGGGAGGAAGCCCUUCGGGGUGUAAACCGCUGUUACUCGGGACGAACUUCCCGAUUUAUCGGGAUUGACGGUACCGGGGGAGGAAGCACCGGCUAACUCUGUGCCAGCAGCCGCGGUAAUACAGAGGGUGCGAGCGUUGUCCCGAAUCACUGGGCGUAAAGAGGGGGUAGGCGGCUUUUCAAGUGAAAGCUCGGGGCUUAACUCCGAGUCUGCCGUGCGAACUGGGAGGCUUGAGUCUGGUAGAGGUCGAUGGAAUUCCGGGUGUAGCGGUGGAAUGCGUAGAGAUCCGGAAGAACACCGGUGGCGAAGGCGGUCGACUGGGCCAGAACUGACGCUGAGGCGCGACAGCGUGGGGAGCAAACAGGAUUAGAUACCCGUGUAGUC